rnacentral:rRNA from 1 species
AAUGAACGUUGGCGGCGUGGAUUAGGCAUGCAAGUCGUGCGGAAAGGCCCCGCAAGGGGUACUCGAGCGGCGUAAGGGAGAGUAACGCGUGGAUCACCUACCCCCGGAUCCGGGAUAGCCACGGGAAACUGUGGGUAAUACCGGAUGACGUCUUCGGACCAAAGGUGCGAUUCCGUCCGGGGAUGGGUCCGCGUCCUAUUAGCUAGUUGGUAGGGUAAUGGCCUACCAAGGCAACGAUGGGUACGAGGUGUGAGAGCAUGACCUCGCUCACUGGGACUGAGACACUGCCCAGACACCUACGGGUGGCAG